UGUGAGGGUUGCUGGAGGUAUCAGAAGUGCGAAUGCUGACAUAAGUAACGAUAAAGCGGGUGAAAAGCCCGCUCGCCGGAAGACCAAGGGUUCCUGUCCAACGUUAAUCGGGGCAGGGUGAGUCGACCCCUAAGGCGAGGCCGAAAGGCGUAGUCGAUGGGAAACGGGUUAAUAUUCCCGUACUUGGUGUUACUGCGAAGGGGGGACGGAGAAGGCUAUGUUGGCCGGGCGACGGUUGUCCCGGUUUAAGCGUGUAGGUGUGUGUUCCAGGUAAAUCCGGUUCACUUUAACACUGAGGCGUGACGACGAGGCACUACGGUGCUGAAGCAACAAAUGCCCUGCUUCCAGGAAAAGCCUCUAAGCAUCAGGUAACAUCAAAUCGUACCCCAAACCGACACAGGUGGUCAGGUAGAGAAUACCAAGGCGCUUGAGAGAACUCGGGUGAAGGAACUAGGCAAAAUGGUGCCGUAACU
rnacentral:rRNA from 1 species